rnacentral:rRNA from 1 species
UGGGGAAUUUUGGACAAUGGGCGAAAGCCUGAUCCAGCAAUGCCGCGUGUGUGAAGAAGGCCUUCGGGUUGUAAAGCACUUUUGUCCGGAAAGAAAUCCUUGGCUCUAAUACAGUCGGGGGAUGACGGUACCGGAAGAAUAAGCACCGGCUAACUACGUGCCAGCAGCCGCGGUAAUACGUAGGGUGCAAGCGUUAAUCGGAAUUACUGGGCGUAAAGCGUGCGCAGGCGGUUUGCUAAGACCGAUGUGAAAUCCCCGGGCUCAACCUGGGAACUGCAUUGGUGACUGGCAGGCUAGAGUAUGGCAGAGGGGGGUAGAAUUCCACGUGUAGCAGUGAAAUGCGUAGAGAUGUGGAGGAAUACCGAUGGCGAAGGCAGCCCCCUGGGCCAAUACUGACGCUCAUGCACGAAAGCGUGGGGAGCAAACAGGAUUAGAUACCCUGGUAGUCCACGCCCUAAAACGAUGUCAACUAGUUGUUGGGGAUUCAUUUCCUUAGUAACGUAGCUAACGCGUGAAGUUGACCGCCUGGGGAAUACGGUCGCAAGAUUAAAACUUAAAGGAAUUGACGGGGUCAUAGCUGUUUCCU